CCCUGGGGUCAACUGCCAGCCUUCAUUCUGAUGUCACCAAAAUUCUUUGCCAAAAUUUUUAUUUGAAAGAGAAAGAGAGGUUCUCCACCUGCUGGUUCAUUCCUCAAAUGCCAACACCAGGCAGAGCUGGGCAAGGCUGAGCCAGGCUGAAGGCAGGAGCUGGGAGCUCAAUUUGCAUUUCCGACAUGGGUGGCAGGAAUCAAAGCAUCAUCGCGUCUGCAGUCCGCAGCCUCCCAGGGUGCGCAUCAGUGAAGGGCGGGUCAGCAGUGGAGCUGGGCUGGGACUUGCACGCAGGUGGCCCAGCUGAUGAAACUAACUGUGCACCCUCAAGAGGCUCUGUAGCCUCUAGCCCAGCACCGCUCGGCGCUCCAGCCCGAGAGCUCCUUCCAUUCUGCCUGUUGGCCCGUUCUCACCCAUAGCCCUUGUUCCUUUCUGGUGGAUUCCUUGCAAGGACCGGGCUCUGAGACUCCAUCACCUGUCACUCAGCACUCCCACCCUCUGCACUGGGCUGGCUCCCUUCCUGCUGGUCUCAUGCUUGGUCUAGCCUGGGCUGCACCCUCCUGGCUCUGCUCGCUCGCUGCUUCCUUGUGAAGCCAUUGACUCUGCCCUGAUCUGAUUUCUCUACAGCCUAGGCAGCUUCCUUGCUUCUCCCCGGCCCCUGCCCCCACUCCGCCCUCUCUGCUCAGCCCCCUGUCCCCUCCCCACAUGCAGGAGCGUCUGGCACAGAAAACCACGAAUGAAAUAAGAAUGGGUCCUUUCUGUAUUUGCUCCGGGAAUGGCACUUCCCAUCUGGUCUCUGUUUGCAAACUCAAAGGGCAAUAUUGAUCCAGGGAAGAGGACUUGGUGCGGGGCAGGGAGACAGAGCUCAGUGAUGCGGUUCACCAUCCAGAAGCUGAGAUGCCCCCUAAAGACGCACCCUAUACCGAAGCCGGAGAGGCAAAGGGGCGACAGCAGGGUCUGUGCGGCCAUGUCAUGGAGCAAAGCCACCAGACUGGGAUGGAGCUUUUGGAGUUGGGACUUCAUAAAAAUGCCUUUGCUCUCCGUUGCCAUGGCUGUGCGGCUGCUGACCGUGAGGAGAGAUGGUCCCUUGGGCUCCUUGCCGCCGGGAAGCCCUUCUCAUGCUAGGGGGUCAGGGCCCCCAGGAGACCUCCUCAAGCUCUUUGCACCUGCCAGGCCUAUGCAGACCCAGGGGGAUGAGGCGCCUUCAGGGAACGCCAAGGUGAGUGAGGUGCGCCUGCCUGCUGUGACAGCCAGGAUGCCCCUUCUCCACUUUGAAGAGAAGAAGUCAGGCGGGGUGGAGACACCCCCAAGAGACCAUUCGCCAACUGAAGAGAAAUCUGGCUGUAAUUCUGCCAGCUGUUAAGACCGGGCAUGUCAUUGUCACCGAAACAGGAGCUUGAAAAUGAGCUACAUCUAAACAGGAAGAUCAAAAGUGCGAAAGCAGGAAUGUCUUGUUUUGGCGGUGGGGUCAGCCCUCAAGACGUCCACAGCCCACACCGGUGUCUGGCUUCGAGUCCCAGCUCCCCCGUCUGACUCCAGCUUCCUGCUAACAGAUCCCGGGGAGACAUCUGUGAUGGCUGAAGUGAUUGCGUUCCUGCCAGCCAUGGGCAGCACCUAGAUUGAGUUUCUGGCUCCCAGAUUUGACUGCAGCCCCACCCCAGGCAUUAUAGGUAUUCGGGGACUGAACCACCGAAUGGAAGCUUGCUUUCUUUUUUCUUCCUUUCUUCCUUUCUUUCUUUCUUUCUUUCUUUCUUUCUUUCUUCCUUUCUUCCUUUCUUCCUUUCUUCCUUUCUUCCUUUCUUCCUUUCUUCCUUUCUUCCUUUCUUCCUUUCUUCCUUUCUUCCUUCCUUCCUUCCUUCCUUCCUUCCUUCCUCUAUCUAUCUAUCUAUCUAUCUACCUAUCAUCUAUCUGUCGCCAUAUAUCUAUAUCUAACCUAUCACCCACCUGUCUGUCUAAUCUGUCAUCUACCUGUUAUCUAUCUCUACUUCUGUCUCUGCCUUGAAAAUACAUUAAAUUUUUUCUUUAAAAUAAAGAACAUGGAAACAUUCA
rnacentral:lncRNA from 1 species